rnacentral:rRNA from 1 species
GACGAACGCUGGCGGCGUGCUUAACACAUGCAAGUCGAGCGGUAAGGCUCCUUCGGGAGUACACGAGCGGCGAACGGGUGAGUAACACGUGAGUAAUCUGCCCUUCACUUCGGGAUAACCGCCGGAAACGGUGGCUAAUACCGAAUACGACGCGCUCUCGCAUGAGAUGCGCGUGGAAAGUCUUAUCGGUGAAGGAUGUGCUCGCGGCCUAUCAGCUUGUUGGGAGGUAACGGCUCACCAAGGCUUCGACGGGUAGCCGGCCUGAGAGGGUGACCGGCCACACUGGGACUGAGACACGGCCCAGACUCCUA